UCCCUUAGUAACUGCGAGUGAAGUGGGAAAAGCUCAAAUUUGAAAUCUCAUCUUGGCUGUCUGAGUUGUAAUUUAGAGAAGUGCUACCUGUACUGGACCGUGUAUAAGUCUCCUGGGAUGGAGCGUCAUAGAGGGUGAGAAUCCCGUCUUUGACAUGGACUGCCAGUGCGUUGUGGUGUACUUUCAAAGAGUCGAGUUGUUUGGGAAUGCAGCUCUAAAUGGGUGGUAAACUCCAUCUAAAGCUAAAUAUUGGCGAGAGACCGAUAGUGAACAAGUACCGUGAGGGAAAGAUGAAAAGUACUUUGGAAAGAGAGUUAAACAGUAUGUGAAAUUGUUGAAAGGGAAACACUUGAUGUCAGUUGUGUUGGCUAGGAUUCAACCCGGCUUUUUUGCUAGGUGAAUUUCCUUGUCUGACAGGCCAACAUCAGUUUUGACUGUUAGAAAAAGGCAAGGGGAAUGUGGCACCUUUGGGUGUGUUAUAGCCUUUUGUCAUAUGUGACAGUCGGGACUGAGGUAUGCAGCGUGCCGCAAGGCUGGGUUUCGACCACGUUCGCCCUUAGGAUGUUGGCUUAAUGGCAUUAAUUGACCCGUCUUGAAACACGGACCAAGGAGUCUAACAUGCCUGCGAGUAUUUGGGUGACUAAACCCUUGUGCGCAAUGAAAGUGAAAAUUGAGAUCCCUGUCAUGGGGAGCAUUGAUGCCCGGACUUGAGCUUUUAGCGAUGGAUCUGCGGUCAAGCAUGCAUGUUGGGACCCGAAAGAUGGUGAACUAUGCCUGAAUAGGGCAAAGCCAGAGGAAACUCUGGUGGCGAUUCUGACGUGCAAAUCGAUCGUCGAAUUUGGGCAUAGGGGCGAAA
rnacentral:rRNA from 1 species